GGAAACGGGAAUUAAUACUCCAUAAUGUACUAAAAUCACAUGGUUUAAGAAUUAAAGCUCCGGCGGUUAAGGAUGGGCAUAUGUGACAUUAGUUUGUUGGUGAGGUAACGGCUCACCAAGACUACGAUGUCUAGGGGGUCUGAGAGGAUGAUCCCCCACACUGGUACUGAGACACGGACCAGACUCCUACGGGAGGCAGGCGAGAGGAAAAAUAGUCGAUCAGUGGGAGCCAGCCAGAACCAGACAUGCCGCGUGCAGGAUGACUGCCCUACGGGUAGUAAACUGCUUUUGUACGAGAAGAACCUUCCGAACGUGUACGGGACUGACGGUAUCGUACGAAUAAGGAUCGGCUAACUCCGUGCCAGCAGCCGCGGUAAUACGGAGGAUCCAAGCGUUAUCCGGAUUCAUUGGGUUUAAAGGGUGCGCAGGCGGAAUAGUAAGUCAGUGGUGAAAUCCUGCAGCUUAACUGUAGAAUUGCCAUUGAUACUGCUAUUCUUGAGUAUAGUUGAGGUGGGCGGAAAUGUGUAAUGUAGCGGUGAAAUGCAUAGAUAUUACACAGAACGCCAUUUGCGAAGGCAGGCUUCACUAAACUAUAACUGACGCUGAGGCACGAAAGCGUGUGGAGCGAACAGGAUUAGAUACCCUGGGUAGUCCACGGCUGUAAACGAUUGAUCACUAGGCUGUUGGCAAUACCCAGUCAGGCGGCUGAGCGAAAGCGUUAACUGAUCCACCUUGGGGAGUACGUCCGCAAGAAUGAAACUCAAAGGAAUUGACGGGGGCCCGCACAAGCGGUGGGAACAUGUGCUUUAAUUCGAUGCUACGCGAGGAACCUUACCCGGGCUUAAAUGCAGGACGACGUUCCGGGAAACUGGACUCCCUUCGGGGCGGACUGCACGGUGCUGCAUGGCUGUCGUCAGCUCGUGCCUUGAGGUGUCGGGUUAAGUCCCAUAACGAGCGCAACCCCUAUUGUU
rnacentral:rRNA from 1 species